rnacentral:rRNA from 1 species
UACGUAGGGUCCGAGCGUUGUCCGGAAUUACUGGGCGUAAAGAGCUCGUAGGUGGUUUGUCGCGUUGUUCGUGAAAACUCACAGCUCAACUGUGGGCGUGCGGGCGAUACGGGCAGACUUGAGUACUGCAGGGGAGACUGGAAUUCCUGGUGUAGCGGUGGAAUGCGCAGAUAUCAGGAGGAACACCGAUGGCGAAGGCAGGUCUCUGGGCCGAUACUGACGCUGAGGAGCGAAAGCGUGGGGAGCGAACAGG